CAAUAGCGUAUAUUAAAGCUGUUGCGGUUAAAAAGCUCGUAGUUGGAUUUCUGUCAAGGACAACUGGUCCGCCCUCCGGGUGAGCACAUAGUUUGGUCUUGACAUCUUGCUGGAAGCUGUUGCUGCACUUGGCUGUGUGGCGCAGUGUUCAGCACUUUCACUUUGAGGAAAUUGGAGUGUUUCAAGCAGGCACAUGCCUUUGGACACAGUAGCAUGGAAUAAUUAGAUUGGGCUUUUGCUCCAAUCUGUCGGUUUCUGGAGCUGAGGUGAGUAUUAAUGGGGAUUGUUGGGGGCAUCCGAAUUUAGCCGUCAGAGGUGAAAUUCUUGGAUCUGCUAAAGACGGACAACUGCGAAAGCGUUUGCCCAGGAUGUUUUCAUUG
rnacentral:rRNA from 1 species